GAUGAACGCUGGCGGCGUGCCUAAUACAUGCAAGUCGAGCGAGCAGACGAGGAGCUUGCUCCUCUGACGUUAGCGGCGGACGGGUGAGUAACACGUGGAUAACCUACCUAUAAGACUGGGAUAACUUCGGGAAACCGGAGCUAAUACCGGAUAAUAUAUUGAACCGCAUGGUUCAAUAGUGAAAGACGGUUUUGCUGUCACUUAUAGAUGGAUCCGCGCCGCAUUAGCUAGUUGGUAAGGUAACGACUUACCAAGGCAACGAUGCGUAGCCGACCUGAGAGGGUGAUCGGCCACACUGGAACUGAGACACGGUCCAGACUCCUACGGGAGGCAGCAGUAGGGAAUCUUCCGCAAUGGGCGAAAGCUUGACGGAGCAACGCCGCGUGAGUGAUGAAGGUCUUCGGAUCGUAAAACUCUGUUAUUAGGGAAGAACAAAUGUGUAAGUAACUAUGCACGUCUUGACGGUACCUAAUCAGAAAGCCACGGCUAACUACGUG
rnacentral:rRNA from 1 species